rnacentral:rRNA from 1 species
AUUCUGUUUGAUCCUGGCAGAUGCUACUGCUAUUGGGAUUCGAUUAAGCCAUGCAAGUUGAACGAAUUUAGAUUCGUGGCGUACGGCUCAGUAACACGUGGAUAACCUACCCUUAGG